GCACCCGUAGCUCAAUUGGAUAGAGCAUCUGACUACGGAUCAGAAGGUUGGGCGUUCGAAUCGCUCCGGGUGUACCA
rnacentral:tRNA from 1 species